rnacentral:rRNA from 1 species
UCCUACGGGAGGCAGCAGUGGGGAAUAUUGCACAAUGGGCGCAAGCCUGAUGCAGCGACGCCGCGUGGGGGAUGACGGCCUUCGGGUUGUAAACUCCUUUCGCUAGGGACGAAGCGUGAGUGACGGUAAUGGGUAAAGAAGCACCGGCUAACUACGUGCCAGCAGCCGCGGUGAUACGUAGGGUGCGAGCGUUGUCCGGAUUUAUUGGGCGUAAAGGGCUCGUAGGUGGUUGAUCGCGUCGGAAGUGUAAUCUUGGGGCUUAACCCUGAGCGUGCUUUCGAUACGGGUUGACUUGAGGAAGGUAGGGGAGAAUGGAAUUCCUGGUGGAGCGGUGGAAUGCGCAGAUAUCAGGAGGAACACCAGUGGCGAAGGCGGUUCUCUGGGCCUUUCCUGACGCUGAGGAGCGAAAGCGUGGGGAGCGAAACAGGCUUAGAUACCCUGGUAGUCCACGCUGUAAACGGUGGGUACUAGGUGUGGGGUCCAUUCCACGGGUUCCGUGCCGUAGCUAACGCUUUAAGUACCCCGCCUGGGGAGUACGGCCGCAAGGCUAAAACUCAAAGGAAUUGACGGGG